CUUUCUCAGCCUGGAGACUGAAAGCUCUCUUUGGCUGUUGGCCCUCCCAGGCAGAGUCCACUGGCUGUUAGGGUGAAAUGGGGCUGAUGCUUCCUGGAAUCCACCAGAAGUAUGCAAAUUGCACCAUCUCUUUCAGCUGCCUGCGCCUGCAUUCCAUCGAGGAUUCCCAAUGGGAAACCUGAAUAACCAGGCAGUGCCAGGGUCACCACUACUGAAGCUGAGGUUGAUUUAUGACACCUUGACUGACACACCCAGAAUAAUGUUUGAGCAAACAUCCGGGCUCUCCAUGGCUCAGUCAAACUGGCACAUCAUACUCUGAGUGAGAUUGGAAGACACGGAGGCUGAGUGACUUGGGCAAUGAUUCAGCAAUACCAACUGUGAACUCUCAAUGACUUGGGCUAAUGAGAAGAAUGACAUGGAUAAUCUAAAAAUAAUGGACAACUGGAAAAAACAUCAGCCUGCUUGUGGAGCACACCAGGUCAUGAUUUCGGCUCGUCCCCCAGUGGCAACAACUAGAGAGGAGGUGAGGAUCCCCGGCGCUGCCAUCUGAUAGGCUGUCUCCCUAGCUCCUCUUGCACUGGCAAUCCUUUCAUCACACAGGCCUUGUUUUGAAGGGACCUAUUCCACCCACAGUCGUUUCUCACCUCUAGGAGGCCAAAAAGCUGUAGUCAUUGCUGUGGUAUCAGGAACUCGAGUUCCUCUCAGAGGUGUUGUGAAGAGCUUCCCUUCCAACAGUACAUGGCCUAAAUACCAGGGAGGAAGUUUCUGACUUUUUCCAUCUUCAGUAAAACAGAACCUCUGUUGUGGAUGCAGUGGCUUUGCAAGGAGAGUGGCAUUGUCUCUUGGUGAAUGUAGUUGUUCAAGUCAUG
rnacentral:lncRNA from 1 species